CGCUGGAGAGUAGAGACUGCAAAGGAUUCUGUGGCUAGCUACACAAGAGAGUUCUUAAUGUGCGACGGGUGUACGUUUAAUGGUCACGUGCUGUGAGAAGGACUGAAGAGCGGGUUGGCGUCACUACUGUUGUCUAUACUGUUUGAAUUUAACGUGUACAUAUGAUAGUUACUGCUCUCUCAGACCCUGAAAGACAGUUUUAGGCUGAGCCAGUGGAAUAGUUAAAUUUUGCCGUUUCACUCAAAACUACAGAAUUCAAACUGUGCUCCUCCGAGUACAGUCGGAGAAUAAAAAAGCCCACAAAAGAGUAUUUCCUGUGUCCUGUCUCAUUCCCCAUGACCGGGCCACAUAUAAGUUUAGAUUUUUUUAUGCUUCAUUUCCUGAAUGUUACCAAACAGAUGGAAAGACAUUACAUUUUUAAGAGUAAGACAUAACUUAGAUCUUGGCAUUAAGAGUGACGUAUGAAGUGAAUUUAUGCUUGGACGAAGGGGCCUUUUUAUAUCAAUGUGGCCAUCAUUGUCUUAAUCUAUCUGCUAAGCAACAAUUUUAUGUGUGUGCAUGAAUACAUAUUGUAAUGCAUUAGGAGUAUUUAUUUUUGGCCCAUUGAGUCUCUAUAAUAAUCAUGGUAAUACAAAACUCCAAUUUUCACCGUAUACAAAGAAAGAAAAAAGUAAAGAAAGAAAGGAAGAAGACCAAGUCUAAAGUCCUACUAUUGUUUCUUGACAAGUUUUUUUUUUUCUUUUACUGUUAUUUACCUUUAGGAGUUGUGUGAAAAUAUGAUAUUUCUGUAUCACUGUAUGCCCUUCUAAUAUAUAAUAAUUAAAUUUUUUGCUUCAAAUAUUAUCAGUUGCUAUGUCUUAAAAGCACAAGUUUCAUGUAUUAAAAA